AGCCGUGUAUUGAGCACAUAGCCAACAAUUCUUUCGCCUUUUACUAAAGAAUACCGUGUGUUCUCUAUGCUAAACGGCAUACACCUAUUUUUGGAGGAGUAAGUUCAUAUGAAGUUU
rfam:Arabidopsis lyrata subsp. lyrata unplaced genomic scaffold ARALYscaffold_2, whole genome shotgun sequence.